GAGCGAAUUUACGCUAUAUUCUUACAUUUGUUAUCUAAGUCACUAAAUAGUGACUAAUGCAAGUUGCAAUGUCAUUUAUACCACAAACGAGAUUAUGUCAAGCCAACUGGGGUUGCCAAUGUAUACUAAAAUGAUUAAAUAAUUAUAUUUAUAAUCUGCAAUAAUAUAAAACUUAAAAAUUAUUUGAUUAGUUGUCCAUAUGAGCUAUUUUGGGUUACAUAAUUUUUUCUGCAAAGCUAUAUAGUUCCUAUCAAAGAACUACUCAUAUUCAUCAAAAUUUUUAUAAUGUUGAAUUGUUAUAUUUUUCAUUUUUUUUUUCAAAGUUAAUUUAUUCGUGUACUCAGUUGAAUUCAAUUAAAUUUAAUUAAAAUUCUUUUUAUCAUAGUGGUUGUAUCAUCAAUUCGCUUAUGGGUAAUAUUCUUUAUAAAACUUUAUACUUUCUCAGUUUAUAUAAAAGUAAAGAAGAGUAUUUUGUUAUUGUAAAUUAAUUAAAUUAAUAAACCGAAAGUAAAUCUUAUUUUUUUAUGACUUGUAAUUUAAUAUCAUUAUGAAGUUUGAAAAUAGUUAGCGUUAGCGCCAUGUUGUGAUCGACGACGAAGCUAACCGACAAUGGAAUUUUGCACUGUGUGGCGCUAGUUAAAUGUUCUACAGCUAAGUGCAAUUUAAACAAUGAUCGAUUGACCUGACUUUAAACAGAUGAUAUAAAAAGAAGGAAGCCACAUAGUGGGGCAACUAUAGAAUUAUAAAUAUGAAAAUGAAAUUUAUGUAGUAUAUUUGCUUCGUUGAAUAAAUUAUUUUGCAAUAACAUGAUGCUCUUCUUUAUUGCUGCUCACGAAAAUUGCUUUUUACAAUAAAAUAAUAUUUGGUUAUAUAGAAGAUCAUUCCAUUAUUUCACAAUUCCAAAAAACAAUUUCUAUGAACACAUAUGCACACGGUUAUUGGGAAAUGCUAUUUUAUUUAAUAUUAGGCGAGCGAUAUCAGUUUUUUAUUUACACAUAUAAUUCAAUAAAUACAAUGAAAACAAAAACAUAUUUAUAUCAUAUAAAUUAUAAGGGUUUCAUGCAUAACAAUUACAAAUGAUUAUUAGUAGUACAGUGAAUACAGAAUGUACAGAUGUGCGUAUGGUUACAUAUUAUUCUAACUAAAUAAUUGUAAUAGUAUUAUAUGUACAUUUAAAUAUACGUAUGCACGAUUAUAUAGAUACAGGUUCCUCGUACGAAAUCAAUGUAUCACAGUUCAAAAAUAUGCAUAUUUAAAAGAGAACUGUUUUAAAUGUUAUCGGUAUAAAUUUGCGUUAAUGAAAAUCUAAAGUCCACGAAUAUAAAAAUGAACAGAAAGAGUUUAAGAUGUGAGCAAAAUUUUUUAAGGAAUUACCAUGAAUAACAUUAACAGUGGUUUUAAUUAUUUAA